rnacentral:lncRNA from 1 species
AUGCAAAACUAGUGCAUAAAUUGCACUCUAACAAAUUCCCCCACACCAAGAUGAUGCUUGUCCUCAAGCAUCUAACUCAAGACUAAUCUCAAAUCUCCACUAAAUUCUCAUCUCAACUCAUCCAAAAACAAUUUUAAGCAAGUAUACCUCAAGAAAUUAAGUCGAUCAACAUUCGAGAGACAAGGAUUUUAAAGCAUAGAAUCUCAUAAGAUAGAAUAAGAACAUUCAACCACUAAGAAGAUCCAUUCAAAAUUCAAGUGCAACAAGAUUGAAUAGCCCUCUCAUUGACUUCACUCCAUGCACUCAAAGUGUUUAGGGUGUCAUUUAUUCACUCAAAUCAAAUCAAAGAAUGCUAUUACCAUAAACUUGCUCAUAUAUCACAUCUCAAUCCACAAAACAUGAAUAAAAUGCAAGAAUCUAAGGGUUUUAAAAGGGUUGUAAUGGGGUUAAAUAGGUUAAAUGAAAAAGAAAAGUUUACGAAAGAAAAAGAGAUCAAAAUGAGAAGAAUGAACUCAUUGAAUGAACUUAUGAUAUCAAAUGUUUAUUUCUACUCAAGUCACCAAGAAUGUAAACUUUUUUUUUCGAUUUUUCUUUUUCUCUUUUUUUUUCUUUUUCCUUUUUUUGUUGUUGUUUUUUUUUUUUAAUCAAACAAAAGAAACGAACCUUGCACAAUUUAAUUCAAGCAUAAUGCUUGUUGAUCUAAUUGAGAAACUUUAAUACAAGGUAGAAAAAGCAACAAAAUAUAUCCACACAAUGAGUCCAAAAAUCUCCUUAAAUUGAGGCUCAAAAAGAAGAAAAAUGGUUAAGUAGACGGAGAGAAUUAGAUGGGUAAUGGUUAAGGCUCAAACAAAGAUAGCAAAUAAAGAUCUUCGGGUAGAGAAAAAAAAAAGCGAGAAUAGAAAAAUGGAAAAGGGUUUGCCCUUAUCAUUUUAAUGCAAAAAAUCCCGUAAUGCGGCUUCAACAUGCAUAACAAAGCAAGUUCUAGAAUAAACAAACUAAGAUUGAUAUUCACAUAACAAAAAUAUUAGAGCAAAGUGGUUGCUCAUAGGCUCAAAUCCUCACAAAGUUGGUAAAUUUGCCAUCAAAUCAUGUACACUCUUCAAAUGAAUCAACCAUCAAUAGUGGUGUAGAAUGAGAAGAAGGUAGGAGUGAUAUAUAAAAGGAAAUGUAAAAAUGAUAAGAAGUGAGAAAGAUGUAUGUAGAAUAUGAAAAGUGAAAGAUAAAAUGUGAGUGAUGAAAAAGUAUGAUAGAAUAAAAAUAGAUGUAAAUAAUUUGAGAUAGAUGGAAAAAGAGUAGUGAGAAAGAAAAGAAAAGAAAAAUAAUAAUAUAUGAAGCAUACUAACUCCAAAAUCAUUUAAGGAUGAGUAGAGUGAAAAUAGAUGAGUAGAGUGAAAAUAAUACUUUCAGACAUCAAUAAUGCAAAAAUCUCUCCCCCACGCUAAGAACUUACAUUGUCCCUAAUGUAAGAUAAUCAAAGCUCACAUAAAAGAUUAAAAGCAAAAACUUCCCUGAAUUAUGAGCUUUGAUCCUCAUAAAGUCUAUGGACUUGGCGGAAAUGGUGGGAUAAAUCCCACACUCUCGAAGUAUGCAGCCAAAUUCUGCUCCAUCUUGUUCAGCUUGUGCUCCAUUUUCUCUAACUGAAUGCUCAAAGGUGGUGCGGAUGUAGAAGGAAUAGUCGGCGGGGCAGCAGUGUCGUCGUCAAACUCGUCAUCAGAGGUAGCACCACUUCUAGCAUAGAGCUUCUUUCUUUCUCUUGUUGAGUCGUGAAUGCGAGGCACCCUCCGAGAUUGGAUUCCGCAAGUGGCAAAACACUCAUGCCUUUUCCAUGUUUCGAUCUUUGUCUCACAGCUUGGCGUGAAUCUGAAACUGUGUUCCAUGGAACCGUAGUGGGAGCGGCAAUCUUGGAUUUCUUUGCGACGGGUAUCUUUUUAGAUGACUUGAAAGUUGAUGCUUUCCUCUUCGGCAUUGUUACAAUAAUUUCACUCACGAAUUUCGAUUCACUCGGCUGGAAUACAGGGCGUAGGCUGGUUGCAGACGAUUGCUGCUCGGCUGGAGCUUGGCGCAAUGGUGGAUCGCUGGUUGCGCGCUGGUGACGAUGGUUGCGUGCGGGAUGCUGCGCGCUGGGGCUGAUUCUGCUGCGCGCUGCUGGGGCUGGUUCUGCUGCGCUAGUGGGCUGCUGGAUCUGCGCGCUGGGGUUGAUUACACGCGAGAGCUGGGCUGACGCUGGUUCUGCGCGCUGCUGGGCAAAGGCUGGAUCUGCGUGCGUGGGUUGCUGCGUGGCUGCUCGGUGAAGGCUGGAUCUGCGCGCGCGCGGGAUGGAGCUGGUUGCGCGCACAGUUGCUGCUGCUGCUGCGUGGGCUGGUUUGCGAUGGUGGAUUGUGGUGCUGCGUGGCUGCUCGGUGAAGGCUGGAGAAGAAAACCAAUUCUGUGAAUUAGGGAUUUUGUGAACAGUAAAUUUUUUUUUCAAAUAAAAAAUAUAUAUAUAUAUAAAAGAAAGAAAAGAAAGAAAAAAAAAGUUUUUUUUUCGUUUUUUUAUUUUCAAAUAAAUAAAUAAUUUUUUUUUUUUUUAUGAUGAACCACUUUGAGACACAAAAAAUAAAUUUCAGAAGUACUUUUCUAAUAAGCACGUGGGCACGCCUUAAAACCAUUUUGCGUUAAAAAUCACAGAAGUACUUAUUAGUUAAGACGUGGGCACGCCUUAUAAAAAAUUUUCUUCUGACCAAAAUAAGCAAACACAUUAUUUUUUUUUAAAAAAAAAUCUGAAUCAAAAUUAAAAGAAGAUAUAACAAAAACCAAAAUAAAUAAAUCAUUUGGGUUGCCUCCCAAAAAGCGCCUUUGUUUUAUGUCUUUGGCUAGACACAUUUAUGCAUCAAUCUCCAUAAUUGGGACUCUCGAGAGCCACAUCCUCCACAAUAUUCACCGAAAAACCUUUAUAAAAAAGGUUUUAAGCGAUGACCGUUAACCUUAAAAACUUUGUCAGAGGUCGGACUCCGAAUCUCAACUGCACCAUGAGGAAAAACAUUAGUAACAAUAAAAGGUCCAACCCAACAAGAACGUAAUUUACCCGGAAAAAGUUUAAGCUUAGAAUGAAAAAGAAGAACUUUUUGACCAACGGAGAACUCCUUUCUCAAAAUCAUUCUAUCAUGAAAUGUCUUCGUUUUUUCCUUGUAAAAAACUUCCUGCACUAUAGGGUUAAUAACAUCCACAGAAAAUACCGAAUGUUCCUCACUAGGAUAUUUCAUGGCAUCAUUCAUAUUGAAUUCUAUAACCUCUCCAUCAAAUUCCAUAGUGAGAGUCCCUUUAUGUACAUCCAUUUUAGUCUUAGCAGUCUUAAGAAAAGGUCUUCCUAGCAAAAUUGGGACAAAAUUGGAGGAGUUAUCCUCUUCCAUAUCAAGUACAUAAAAAUCAGCAGGAAAAACCAACUCAUUAACUUGUACUAAGACAUCUUCUAAUACCCCAUCAGGAUAUGCAUUAGACCUAUCAGCUAGUUGAAUUAUCACGCCAGUUUCUUUUAAUGGACCAACAUUCAAAGAUGAAUAAAUGGAACGAGGCAUGACAUUAAUAGAAGCUCCUAGAUCUAACAAAGCCUUUUCAAUUCUAACACUACCAAUUUUACAAGGGAUAGUAAACAUACCUGGAUCCUUGCACUUAGGAGGUAGUUUCUUUUGGAGAACUGCUGAAACAUUCUCCCCCAUGUGAACUUUUUCAUCUCCUCUUAAUUUUCUCUUAGAGGUGCAUAGUUCCUUAAGGACUUUAGCAUAUUGAGGUAUUUGUUUUAUAGCAUCUAAUAAAGGAAUAUUUACCUCAACCUUGCGAAAUGUCUCAAGGAUGUCUUUCUCUUGUUCCUCCUUCUUGGAUUUUGCAAACCGACUUGGAAAAGGAGGAGGUAUCACAAUAGGUAGGGGUUUCGCUCUGGUGGGUUCCGCAUCUUGAGAUUGAGGCAUCAAUUCAUUCUUUUCAAGCUCAUCUUCUACAUGUUUUGUCACUUUUUUACUAGGUUCUUGCAACUCCUUCCCACUUCUAAGGAUGACAGCACUAACGUUUUGCUUUGGAUUCACCUCAGAUUGUGAAGGCAAUCUCCCUAAUACUUGAGACUUCAGACGGCUCACUGUAGUCGCCAAUUGACUCAUUUGGUUCUCCAAAUUCUGAAUGCUUGCUGUAGUUGCCUGCUGAAAUUGUUGAGUGUUAGUCGCAAGUGAUUUAACAAUUUCUUCAAGAGAUAUACCUGACUUGGAGUUUGACUGUGGAGGUGCUGGUUGUCUUGGUGGAUACUGUUGUGGGAAUCCUGACGGCCUAACUCCAUAGCUGAAGUUAGGAUGAUCCUUCUAUCCCGGAUUGUAUGUUUGUGCAUAAGGAUCAUACCUCCUCUGAAGCAUGCCUGGAAAUCCUCCAGCUGCAUUAGCUUGCUCAACGAGUUCUUCUUGAAGGGUAGGACAUAUAUCAGUUGAAUGACCCAUAUUGUAACAAAUGCCACAAGUCUUCACCUAUUGCACAUUACCUACAACAAACUUUUCCACAAGAGAAGUAAGUUUAUCUAAACGUUGUUCAACAGAAGAAAUAUUUACCUCAUUCACAUUCCUUGAAGUGGGAUCUUGCCUGCUGCCAAAUUGUUGUGCAUUGGCAGCCAUAUUUGAGAUCAACUCUCUUGCUUGAGUAGGGGUUUUGUUCACCAACACACCUCCACUAGCAGCAUCUAUCAUACUCCUAUCAAUUAAUGAUAGUCCUUCGUAAAAAUAUUGAAUAAGAAGUUGAUCAGAAAUCUAAUGCUGAGGACAGCUGGCACACAAUUGUUUGAAUCGCUCCUAAUACUCAUACAAAGUCUCCCUAGGAAGUUGUCUGAUCCCACAAAUAUCUUUUCUGAUGUUUGCAGCUCUUGAAGCAGGAAAGUACUUCUCGAGGAACUGCUUCUUCAAACCAUUCCAUGUUGUAAUCGAUCCAGGAGGCAAGUAGUACAACCAAUCUUUAGCUAGUCCAUCUAAAGAGAAAGGAAAAACACGCAGCUUAAUCUGCUCUUCAGUCACGCCUUGUGGUCUCAUACUUGAACAUACAACAUGAAACUCCUUGAGAUGUUUAUGAGGAUCUUCACCUGCAAAACCAUGAAACUUGGGUAAUAAAUGAAUAAGACCAGACUUUAAUUCAAAAUUUACCUCCAAGUCUACAUAUUGAAUGCAGAGUGGUUGUUGAUUCAAGUCUGGUUCAGCUAACUCUCUAAGAGUUCUUUCUACAGGUGCAGGUCUAUCCAUCACUUGUUCUUCUGAAUCGCUAGAUGAUUCAACUAAAUCAGGCACCGUAUCUGUUUCAGAAAGCAAAGGCAACGAGGAUCGUUACUUAGCUCGCUUCGUCUGCUGUCUCAACUGGCGAGCUGUCUUCUCAAUUUCAGGAUCAAACGAAAGUGUACCUGUACGAGAAGAACGAACCAUACACCAAGUAAAACGUAAAAAGGAUUAAAUAAAUGACACCAAUCCCCAGCAACGGCGCCAAAAUUUGAUGGGUGUCGAAGCCAACAAAAAUAAAUUCCUACUCUAAAUAAAUUGUGUAUAGUGAUUGAGCAGGGUCGUGUCCACAGAGAUCGGUAAUUAUUUAAAUCCUUCUAAAACGUAAAACAUAAAAUAGGGGUUUUGUUGACAAUAAUAAAAAUCAAAUUAAAAUAACAAGAAUGCAAAUUAAAGUUGUAAUUCAAAUUGGAGAAAGCUCUGGUUGAAGGAAUUAACUCAGCUUCAUUCGACUACUGAUCAUUGAUUCAAAUAUAGAUUAUUAUUACUUAUGAAUAGACCGGUUAUAGCUAUUGAGACCCUCUAAUAGCCAAUCUCUCCUUAAAUAGUCGAUAACCAAGAUACGACCGUUGGAUAUUUCCCUAAUCAAUAGACAACCCUAGAUACGAUCAUAGGAUUUAAUCAAUUGACAACCUGAAAAACCAGAGAGACCCAAAUCCUAAUCAACACAUAUGAUGAUUCAUUUAAAUUAGAUUGUUUAUUCUCAUAACACAACUCACUGCUAUGUUAUUUGUCAUAAACAUUAAAAUCUUCAUACGAUGAAUCCUUUAAUUGACAAUAGAUUAAGUUGAUAAUUAAAUAGUGGCCAAUUACCUAAUUAACAAACAUAAUCAUGAAACUAAUUCAGAGAAUAAACAAAUACCCAAAAAGUAAUAAAACAAUUAAAGCAUAAGAAAGAUCUCACAGUAGUGAUGAAUCAAAGCUUCAUUAACCUUCAACCAGAAAAAUAGGUUUAGUUCUUCAUAGAGAGAAGAGAAAAGUUUAGAUCUAGGGUUUUCUUCUCUUUCUCCCCUCCAAAAUCCCCUUUUUUCACAAUAGAUUCCUCUCUUAAAUACUCUCUCUCUCUUCUCCUCUAGAAUUCUAUUUAAAAUAAAAUACUAAUAUCUAAAAUAUUAAAUUCGUAAUUACAAAAAUAACCAAAAAUACAAAACACGUUAAACUAAAAACUGCAGGUCCGUAGUUGACAGCACGCGCCCACGCCUUAUCAACAAAGUUCUUCUGCCGCUCAUAAUUUCUCCAAGAGAACAAUCAUCCUUAAACAUCAUCUUGUAGCUCAAUUUUAUCACCAAUUAAUAGAAUUGCACCUACAAAAGUAAAUCACAAGUAAAUCACUAUUAUUAAGUGCAAAACAUGAUAUUAAGGGAAGUAAACAAUGCAAAACUAGUGCAUAAAUUGCACUCUAACAAAUUCCCCCACACCAAGAUGAUGCUUGUCCUCAAGCAUCUAACUCAAGACUAAUCUCAAAUCUCCACUAAAUUCUCAUCUCAACUCAUCCAAAAACAAUUUUAAGCAAGUAUACCUCAAGAAAUUAAGUCGAUCAACAUUCGAGAGACAAGGAUUUUAAAGCAUAGAAUCUCAUAAGAUAGAAUAAGAACAUUCAACCACUAAGAAGAUCCAUUCAAAAUUCAAGUGCAACAAGAUUGAAUAGCCCUCUCAUUGACUUCACUCCAUGCACUCAAAGUGUUUAGGGUGUCAUUUAUUCACUCAAAUCAAAUCAAAGAAUGCUAUUACCAUAAACUUGCUCAUAUAUCACAUCUCAAUCCACAAAACAUGAAUAAAAUGCAAGAAUCUAAGGGUUUUAAAAGGGUUGUAAUGGGGUUAAAUAGGUUAAAUGAAAAAGAAAAGUUUACGAAAGAAAAAGAGAUCAAAAUGAGAAGAAAAGUUUACGAAAGAAAAAGAGAUCAAAAUGAGAAGAAUGAACUCAUUGAAUGAACUUAUGAUAUCAAAUGUUUAUUUCUACUCAAGUCACCAAGAAUGUAAACUUUUUUUUUUCGAUUUUUCUUUUUCUCUUUUUUUUACAAAAGAAACGAACCUUGCACAAUUUAAUUCAAGCAUAAUGCUUGUUGAUCUAAUUGAGAAACUUUAAUACAAGGUAGAAAAAGCAACAAAAUAUAUCCACACAAUGAGUCCAAAAAUCUCCUUAAAUUGAGGCUCAAAAAGAAGAAAAAUGGUUAAGUAAAUUGAGGCUCAAAAAGAAGAAAAAUGGUUAAGUAGACGGAGAGAAUUAGAUGGGUAAUGGUUAAGGCUCAAACAAAGAUAGCAAAUAAAGAUCUUCGGGUAGAGAAAAAAAAAAGCGAGAAUAGAAAAAUGGAAAAGGGUUUGCCCUUAUCAUUUUAAUGCAAAAAAUCCCGUAAUGCGGCUUCAACAUGCAUAACAAAGCAAGUUCUAGAAUAAACAAACUAAGAUUGAUAUUCACAUAACAAAAAUAUUAGAGCAAAGUGGUUGCUCAUAGGCUCAAAUCCUCACAAAGUUGGUAAAUUUGCCAUCAAAUCAUGUACACUCUUCAAAUGAAUCAACCAUCAAUAGUGGUGUAGAAUGAGAAGAAGGUAGGAGUGAUAUAUAAAAGGAAAUGUAAAAAUGAUAAGAAGUGAGAAAGAUGUAUGUAGAAUAUGAAAAGUGAAAGAUAAAAUGUGAGUGAUGAAAAAGUAUGAUAGAAUAAAAAUAGAUGUAAAUAAUUUGAGAUAGAUGGAAAAAGAGUAGUGAGAAAGAAAAGAAAAGAAAAAUAAUAAUAUAUGAAGCAUACUAACUCCAAAAUCAUUUAAGGAUGAGUAGAGUGAAAAUAGAUGAGUAGAGUGAAAAUAAUACUUUCAGACAUCAAUAAUGCAAAAAUCUCUCCCCCACGCUAAGAACUUACAUUGUCCCUAAUGUAAGAUAAUCAAAGCUCACAUAAAAGAUUAAAAGCAAAAACUUCCUGAAUUAUGAGCUUUGAUCCUCAUAAAGUCUAUGGACUUGGCGGAAAUGGUGGGAUAAAUCCCACACUCUCGAAGUAUGCAGCCAAAUUCUGCUCCAUCUUGUUCAGCUUGUGCUCCAUUUUCUCUAACUGAAUGCUCAAAGGUGGUGCGGAUG